AGUGGACGCUGGCGGUAGGCCUAACACAUGCAAGUCGAACGGCAGCACAGUAAGAGCUUGCUCUUACGGGUGGCGAGUGGCGGACGGGUGAGGAAUACAUCGGAAUCUACUUUUUCGUGGGUGAUAACGUAGGGAAACUUACACUAAUACCGCAUACGACCUACGGGUGAAAGCAGGGGAUCUUCGGACCUUGCGCGAUUGAAUGAGCCGAUGUCGGAUUAGCUAGUUGGCGGGGUAAAGGCCCACCAAGGCGACGAUCCGUAGCUGGUCUGAGAGGAUGAUCAGCCACACUGGAACUGAGACACGGUCCAGACUCCUACGGGAGGCAGCAGUGGGGAAUAUUGGACAAUGGGCGCAAGCCUGAUCCAGCCAUACCGCGUGGGUGAAGAAGGCCUUCGGGUUGUAAAGCCCUUUUGUUGGGAAAGAAAAGAAGCAGGUUAAUCCCCCGAUGUUCUGACGGUACCCAAAGAAUAAGCCCCGGCUAACUUCGUG
rnacentral:rRNA from 1 species